GCUGCAGUUUGGCGUGGCUGUGUGGCGAUUUGACUACAAGUACAAGGUACUGCUUUUCUCCGGCAGUUUUGCUACGGGUGAAGUUCGCUUCAGGCCUGAGCUUCACCAAGUCUGUGAGCUGGCAAAGUGCACAACGGCCGUGUGUCUCUCCCCUCUCAUCCACACUGAGUGACAGCUGUGCUCGCUUGGUGGUAUGUAUGCCUGUGAUGCUAUAAUUCAUUUUAGCACCCUUAGAAUUUGACAACUGUUUUAUUAUAUGUUAUAGGGUCUAAAGGCCAGACGGCGCACCAAACACGCCAUUUGGUCCUCAACCUCUGGCCUCUGGCAUGUGCUGCUGUUCUGUCUCUACCAUUAAUCUUUAUAUACUAUAUGACUCUACUACACAAAAACUUCUCUCUGGAGUCUUGUGUAUGGUGCUGUUUUUAAUAUUUUAAUAUAUUGCUGACUGUAUGUCUACCUGUGCUCAUACCUGAGUGUGAAUUUAUCCUGUUGUGUUGAAUUUAUUUUUAGUUAUCCCUAACUGGGUUUCUUGUUUGUUUCUUUCCUUUGGAGCAUUUAGGCUUACACCUCAUGGUGAAUAUUCUGUUGGGUUUACAGAUUUAAUUUGAUUGUUUAUUGUGGUUGGGUGGGGUUUCAUUUUACUUUUGGGGAUGUAUUUUUGAUUUUGUUUCCGUUGUAACCCUCUGGUCUGUGUACUGACCGUUUCCUCUGUUGGGCAGGAGCGGUGGGGUGCAAGCCGGUGGUAGUGGCCUAGACACUGACUACAGUCACAUGGUUUUAUAAUAAUGAUGAUGUCAUUUUAAAAAGAAAAAGAAAAACCUAUUUAUAUAAAUACAUUUUUUUAUAAGUUGGAUCUGUCUCUGUUCAUGCUUAAAACCUGUGUGACCUUUGGUGUUUGUAAAGGGUCAGGUAAAAUUUCCUGGGGGAAUUACGCCCCUAGGUGGCGUUGUCGACAACAUUUAAUAAUAACUGUCUGAGUUCCACUCGCCACAGAAGCAGCAUGGAGCCCUACUGUAAAUUUACCUCUAAAGUUCUGGCUGUAAACUCCAUGAGGCCAGUUUCAGUUUGAUGAUGAUAUUCCAAGUAAAACUGCAGACAAGCUCAAAUAUAUUUAGUAUAAAAUGAUAGAACUGGAUGGAACCCUCUUAUAUGUUAUAUUUGCAACCUUUGUUCACAUUUGCAACAUUUAAAAUUAUUUUAUUGAGCAUAGUGUUUCAAAGGUAAAAAAAAAGAUUCAAAAUCACAUUUUAAGUUCGACUAAAGGACUAAAAACAACACAAAAUGACCAAAAAAGACACAAAAAGACACAAAAUGACUAAAAAGACAAAAUAACUAAAAAAAGACACACCAAAAGACAAAAUGACCAGAAAAGACACAAAAUGACUAAAAAAUACACAAAAUGACCAAAAUUGUUACGCUAAACACACAAGACACAAAUUAAAUAAAGUCCCACUAGAAUAAAAACCAGAGCUGGAUUACAGGAUCACACACAAUCACAAGAUCACAUUUAUGUUGGUU